GAACGGUAGCACAGAGAGCUUGCUCUCGGGUGACGAGUGGCGGACGGGUGAGUAAUGUCUGGGAAACUGCCCGAUGGAGGGGGAUAACUACUGGAAACGGUAGCUAAUACCGCAUAACGUCGCAAGACCAAAGUGGGGGACCUUCGGGCCUCACACCAUCGGAUGUGCCCAGAUGGGAUUAGCUAGUAGGUGGGGUAAUGGCUCACCUAGGCGACGAUCCCUAGCUGGUCUGAGAGGAUGACCAGCCACACUGGAACUGAGACACGGUCCAGACUCCUACGGGAGGCAGCAGUGGGGAAUAUUGCACAAUGGGCGCAAGCCUGAUGCAGCCAUGCCGCGUGUAUGAAGAAGGCCUUCGGGUUGUAAAGUACUUUCAGCGGGGAGGAAGGCGGUGGAGUUAAUAGCUUCACCGAUUGACGUUACCCGCAGAAGAAGCACCGGCUAACUCCGUG
rnacentral:rRNA from 1 species